ensembl:lncRNA
GAGGGGGAGGAGUGUGGGGAUAGACCCAGGGUGCAGGGCACCCCGGAGCCAAACACUAUUCCUGCAUCCUGGGUUGAUGAGAUGGAGGAGGAAGGGGGGGAUGUCGGGAGUACAGAUGGUGUUCUCACCGGUAGAUAUGGAGCAGGGGAGCAUCGGGUGAGUCUCCUGUUUUUUUUUUUUUUCUGUCUGGGUUUAGAAUUUGAGUGAAGAGGGGGGGAUGUCGGGAGUAUGGAUGGUGUUCUCACCGGUAGAUAUGGAGCAGGGGAGCAUCGGGUGAGUCUCCUGUUUUUGUUUUUUUUCUGUCUGGGUUUAGAAUUUGAGUGUAUUACAUGAUUUUAUUUUAUUCUUUCAUGGCAUCUAAUUUUACUUUUGUUAGUUUAAAUGUAAGGGGUUUAAGGGAUUUUGUUAAGAGGAGGGCGGUUUUUAGUUAUUUGGAGGUUGUGGGGUUUGAUUUUUGUUUUUUACAGGAGGUUCACCUGAGGGAUGGAGGGGAUGUUAGUAGGUUUAAGAGGGAGUGGGACAAGGGGGAGUCAGUUUGGGGUAUUGGGGGGGUGCACUCAUCGGGGGUAGGGAUUUUGUCUGGGCACAGGGAGGUAAAAGUGGAGGAUUCUUUUGUGGUAAUGCAGGGGAGGGUUAUAGGGGUGGAUGUCACAAUAAGGGAUUGUAAAUUUAGAUUAGUGGUGGUGUAUGGGCCACAUGUGGUGGCAGACAGGAGGGAGAUGGUGGACUGUCUGACGCCCCUGUGUGUCACAAAUAGGAAAUUAGUGAUAGGGGGGGGGAUUUUAAUACAGAUUUAGGAAUAGGGGGGAUAGCAGUGCAGGCGCCAUUACCAGGCUAAUGGCUUGCCAUGGUCUGGUUGAUGGUGGUCUGCACACUACUCCGAAAAUGGCCGGUCCUACAUGGCGCAACUCCAGGGGGGUUGAGCGGAGGCUCGACUAUAUUUUUGUACCCAGGUCUUUGGGUAAGUUGUCUGGGCGGCUGUUGCCUGUUUUCUUUUCGGAUCACGACGGGGUGCUCCUGCAGGUGGGGUCGCCAGUCUGCCUCUUUGGUAGGGGGUACUGGAAGUUAGAUCGGGAUGUGCUGGAGGAGCAGGCUUUUGUUGACGGGUUUUAUGGUUUCUUUUGGAGGCUUGAAGGCCUCAGGUCCAUGUGCGAGGGGGUGUUAGAGUGGUGGAGAUUAGUUAAGGUGAGGAUUAGGGCUUUUAUAAUAGGGUAUUGCAAGAGGAAAAAAAG